AUUGAACGCUGGCGGCAUGCCUUACACAUGCAAGUCGAACGGUAACAGGUCUUCGGAUGCUGACGAGUGGCGAACGGGUGAGUAAUACAUCGGAACGUGCCCGAUCGUGGGGGAUAACGAAGCGAAAGCUUUGCUAAUACCGCAUACGAUCUACGGGUGAAAGCAGGGGACCGCAAGGCCUUGCGCGAACGGAGCGGCCGAUGGCAGAUUAGGUAGUUGGUGGGAUAAAAGCUUACCAAGCCGACGAUCUGUAGCUGGUCUGAGAGGACGACCAGCCACACUGGGACUGAGACACGGCCCAGACUCCUACGGGAGGCAGCAGUGGGGAAUUUUGGACAAUGGGCGAAAGCCUGAUCCAGCCAUGCCGCGUGCAGGAUGAAGGCCUUCGGGUUGUAAACUGCUUUUGUACGGAACGAAAAGACUCUGGUUAAUACCUGGGGUCCAUGACGGUACCGUAAGAAUAAGCACCGGCUAACUACGUGCCAGCAGCCGCGGUAAUACGUAGGGUGCAAGCGUUAAUCGGAAUUACUGGGCGUAAAGCGUGCGCAGGCGGUUAUAUAAGACAGAUGUGAAAUCCCCGGGCUCAACCUGGGAACUGCAUUUGUGACUGUAUAGCUAGAGUACGGCAGAGGGGGAUGGAAUUCCGCGUGUAGCAGUGAAAUGCGUAGAUAUGCGGAGGAACACCGAUGGCGAAGGCAAUCCCCUGGGCCUGUACUGACGCUCAUGCACGAAAGCGUGGGGAGCAAA
rnacentral:rRNA from 1 species